AUUUAUUAUCAUACACUAUUAAUAAAAGUGGGUAUUAUUAUCUUUCCAUAUUUUAUCGAAACCAACCUGUAGGAAACACACCUUACGUUAUUCACAUGAAAGCAUCAACAUCAUAUGCACCUAACUGUGUUUUAUACAAAGAUAUUAAUAAUAAAAUGAUAAUGCCAAAGAAAAAAAAAAAAAAAAAAAAAAAAUAUAUGAAAAAAAAUUUACAAAACAAAAAAGAUUCUGUUACAAUAUAUAAUAACACGUUACAUGAUGGUGGAUUCUGUUUGUCCAACUAUGAUAACUGCUCCGAUUCUAGAGAUGAUACAUGUAUAAGUGAUAGUGACUGUAGUAGUAGUAGUAGUAGUAGUAGUUAUGAAUGCAGUGAUAGUAGUAGUGUAUACAGUAGUAGUAGCUUAUGUAGUAACAAAAACUCAUUUCAUAAAGACUUUUUAAAUCAGUUACAUCCCAGCUCAGACCCACGUAAGACACAAGAAAAAAAAAAAAAAAAAAAAAAAACAGAAUAUAAUAUACACGAUUCUAGUAAUAAUGUUAAAACUAAAUACAUUUUAAAGAUUGAUGAUGAAUAUGAAGAAAAUAAAGCAUUUAAUAAUUUUUUUAUACAAAGUUAUGAUGCAUACAAAAAUAAGAUUACUGUAGGUAUUGAUUUAUUUGAUGUAUCAAGUUUGGGGAGCAUAAAAAUUGUAAAAGUGAACAAUUUAAAUAAUGGUAUAUAUGAGGUGAUAUAUAGAUAUAUAAAUAAUGAAGGAAUGAAUAAAAAUAAAUACAUGGAUGCUUAUAACAAUUUAUAUAAUAGUAUGGAUAUCGAUAUACAUAACACGGAACAUAGAUGUAGAUAUAUUAACGCUUUUAACACGAAUAAUGAGAAUGAACAGUACAUAAAAAAUAAUAAAUAUCAAUACAACCCAUAUAGAGAAAUAAAAGUAACAUUAAAUGGAGUUCAUAUAAAAGGAUCUCCAUUUUAUGUAGUUUUAAAAAAUGAUAAACAAAUAACAUAUUUAAAUAGAAUAGAAAAUUUGCUACCUAUUAAAAAUAUAAAUAUAUUAAAUCCUAUUGACAGUUUAUAUAAUAUUAUUAAUUCAUAUAAAUAUGUAGAAGAAAAUUACAUAACAAAUAGAAAUAACAAUGGUAUAAAUUUUAUGAAUGUAAAUCCUUAUUAUAAAAAUAAAGAACUUGAAAUUAUAUUAAAAAAAGUAAACAAUAAUAUGAUAUCUCUUAUGACUAUCCCUAUGAAACAACAACUGUUUAAUUAUAUAAAAUAUAUGAAAAAUGAUAUAAAAAUUGUGAAAUUAAAAAAAAUGCUGUAUAAAGAACUAGUAGUUUCACUAGCUAAAAUGAUUAAUUGUGCAGACAGACAAUAUGAUAAUUUAAAACAUAUUGAAAAAGAUUUAAUAAAAGAAAAUAAAAUACAAAAAGAAACUACUGAUAAAUUAGGUAUUCUAUAUAAGUCUUUAGAAACUAGAAACCUGCACUCUGUACCCAUCAAAUUUAACAUAAAAGAUAUGGUAGCAUACAAAGAAAGCCUUACUACUAAAAAAAAAGAGUUACUAACUAAACAAAACGAAUUAAUAGAAAAAUAUAAAAGUAUUAAAAAUAAAGAAAAACAAUUCUUUAGUGAUAGAGAAAAAAUCACCAACGAACUAAAAACAAAAUAUGAAAAUCACAGUGCUAUAUUUGAGCUAGCUACAGAUGCUUUAACUCAAACAAGUAACAAUCUGAAGCAUAUUACUUUAAAUAAUAUUAAAAAAAGUAAAGCAAAGUAAAAAAAAUAAAUAAAUAAAUAAAAAAUAAUCA
ensembl:lncRNA